AUACUCAUGUGAUCGCUGUAUUUAAUACAGAGGAAAGUCCAUGCUCACACAGACUGCGAUGUCUGUAGUGUUCGUGCUUGACGAAAUCAUAAGUCAAGGUAACCAGUAGGUUAACGGCAGGUUUAUUUCCUAAGUCUUAAAAGAUAUGGAAAUAUCCUUGAAAGUGCCACAGUGACGUAGCUGAGAAGGAAACUUCUUGGGUGGAACGAGGUAAACCCCACGAGUGAGCAACCCAAAUAAUGGUAGGGGCAUCCUUUAGUAGGGAAGUUGAACCGAAAAAGGGACAAGUUAUUACUUGUAGAUAGAUGAUCGCAACCGACGUACGAGGUUUGACCACCGUUUGUAGUACAAUGGUACAGAACAUGGCUUAUCGAG
rfam:Virgibacillus massiliensis genome assembly, contig: 000001